rnacentral:SRP_RNA from 1 species
CUGUGGGCAUGCCGGAGUGUUAGCAGUACUCUGUGACCAUCAAUCUGCUUUACGGUGGGGCUAAGCUUGAAGGCGGUGUGUUGUUUGCAAGAAUGCCUUUGCUGUACAAUGAGCUUGUGUCCUUCUAGAUUAAGCCAUUAAGUGAAUCCUGCCAGGCUCGGAAGAGUGCAACAGUAGCUUCAAUGCUUUGAUGCUUCAAGGGAAACGCAAGCAAGGAAAGCAAAGGGCACAUUCUUGCUUUGCAGUGCAUCCACUUCAAGAGCCCACAC